rnacentral:rRNA from 1 species
GCUCAACCGGGGAGGGUCAUUGGAAACUGGGGAACUUGAGUGCAAAAGAGGAGAGUGGAAUUCCACGUGUAGCGGUGAAAUGCGUAGAGAUGUGGGGGAACACCAGUGGCGAAGGCGACUCUCUGGUCUGUAACUGACGCUGAGGCGCGAAAGCGUGGGGAGCGAACAGGAUUAGAUACCCUGGUAGUCCACGCCGUAAACGAUGAGUGCUAAGUGUUAGAGGGCUUCCGCCCUUUAGUGCUGCAGCAAACGCAUUAAGCACUCCGCCUGGGGAGUACGGUCGCAAGACUGAAACUCAAAGGAAUUGACGGGGGCCCGCACAAGCGGUGGAGCAUGUGGUUUAAUUCGAAGCAACGCGAAGAACCUUACCAGGUCUUGACAUCCUCUGACAACCCUAGAGAUAGGGCUUCCCCUUCGGGGGCAGAGUGACAGGUGGUGCAUGGUUGUCGUCAGCUCGUGUCGUGAGAUGUUGGGUUAAGUCCCGCAACGAGCGCAACCCUUGAUCUUAGUUGCCAGCAUUCAGUUGGGCACUCUAAGGUGACUGCCGGUGACAAACCGGAGGAAGGUGGGGAUGACGUCAAAUCAUCAUGCCCCUUAUGACCUGGGCUACACACGUGCUACAAUGGGCAGAACAAAG